rnacentral:rRNA from 1 species
GUAGUCCUACGGGGGGCAGCAGUGAGGAAUAUUGGUCAAUAGCCGCAGGGCUGAACCAGCCAAGUCGCGUGAGGGAUGACGGUCCUAUGGAUUGUAAACCUCUUUUGUCAGGGAGCAAAGGGCGCCACGUGUGGCGUUUUGCGAGUACCUGAAGAAAAAGCAUCGGCUAACUCCGUGCCAGCAGCCGCGGUAAUACGGAGGAUGCGCGCGUUAUCCGGAUUUAUUGGGUUUAAAGGUUGCUCAGGCGGAAUGUCAAUUCAGCGGUAAAAUUUCGGUGCUCAACCCCGGCGUGCCGUUGAAACUGG